GAGUUUGAUCGUGGCUCAGGAUGAACGCUAGCUACAGGCCUAACACAUGCAAGUCGAGGGGCAGCGGGAAGGAAGCUUGCUUUCUUCGCCGGCGACCGGCGCACGGGUGCGUAACGCGUAUCGAACCUACCCUUUACUCGGGAACAGCCUUGCGAAAGCAAGAUUAAUGCCCGAUGUUCCGCGUUUGCCGCAUGGCAAAUUCGGCAAAGAUUUAUUGGUAAAGGAUGGCGAUGCGUCCCAUUAGUUAGUUGGCGGGGUAACGGCCCACCAAGACGACGAUGGGUAGGGUUCUGAGAGGAAGGUCCCCCACAUUGGAACUGAGACACGGUCCAAACUCCUACGGGAGGCAGCAGUGAGGAAUAUUGGUCAA
rnacentral:rRNA from 1 species